rnacentral:rRNA from 1 species
UCCACACAGUAAACGAUGAAUACUCGCUGUUUGCGAUAUACAGUAAGCGGCCAAGCGAAAGCAUUAAGUAUUCCACCUGGGGAGUACGCCGGCAACGGUGAAACUCAAAGGAAUUGACGGGGGCCCGCACAAGCGGAGGAACAUGUGGUUUAAUUCGAUGAUACGCGAGGAACCUUACCCGGGCUUAAAUUGCAGUGGAAUGAUGUGGAAACAUGUCAGUGAGCAAUCACCGCUGUGAAGGUGCUGCAUGGUUGUCGUCAGCUCGUGCCGUGAGGUGUCGGCUUAAGUGCCAUAACGAGCGCAACCCUUAUCUUCAGUUACUAACAGGUCAUGCUGAGGACUCUGGAGAGACUGCCGUCGUAAGAUGUGAGGAAGGUGGGGAUGACGUCAAAUCAGCACGGCCCUUACGUCCGGGGCUACACACGUGUUACAAUGGGGGGUACAGAAGGCAGCUAGCGGGUGACCGUAUGCUAAUCCCAAAAUCCUCUCUCAGUUCGGAUCGAAGUCUGCAACCCGACUUCGUGAAGCUGGAUUCGCUAGUAAUCGCGCAUCAGCCACGGCGCGGUGAAUACGNUNCNNNGCCUUGUACACACCGCCCGUCAAGCCAUGGGAGNNNNNNNNNCCUGAAGUACGUAACCGCAAGGAUCGUCCUAGGGUAAAACUGGUGAGGGGGCUAAGUCGUAACAAGGUAACC